rnacentral:rRNA from 1 species
UAACACCAGCGCCACGAGUGGCAACCGCAUUUAUUGGGUCUAAAGCGUCCGUAGCCUGUUUAAUAAGUCUCUUGUGAAAUCAUUGGGCUCAACUCAAUAGUGUGCUUGAGAAACUGUUGAACUUGGAACUGGGAGGAGUCAGAAGUAUUUUUUGGGGAGCGGUAAAAUGCUAUAAUCCAAGAAGGACUACCUGUGGCGAAGGCGUCUGACUAGAACAGAUUCGACGGUGAGGGACGAAAGCUAAGGGAGCAAUCCGGAUUAGAUACGGGAAUGUUUCUUAAAGAUUUUUUGGAGUUAGGUUUGUAAAUUUGUUCUAUAAAAUCUACGUUUGUAAACUGAAACAAAAAAUAAUGGAAUUUUCCUGCUAACUACCCGAGUAGUCUUAGCCGUAAACUCUGCGAGCUAGGUGUUGCAUAUUCUCCGUGAAUGUGCAGUGUCGUAACGAAGGUGUUAAGCUCGCCACCUGGGAAGUAUGGUCGCAAGGCUG